rnacentral:rRNA from 1 species
GACGAACGCUGGCGGCGUGCUUAACACAUGCCAGUCGAACGGAAAGGCCCUUCGGGGUCCUCGAGUGGCGAACGGGUGAGUAACACGUGGGUGAUCUGCCCUGCACUUUGGGAUAAGCCUGGGAAACUGGGUCUAAUACCGAAUAGGACCACGCGCUUCAUGGUGUGUGGUGGCAAGCUUUUGCGGUGUGGGAUGGGCCCGCGGCCUAUCAGCUUGUUGGUGGGGUAAUGGCCUACCAAGGCGACGACGGGUAGCCGGCCUGAGAGGGUGACCGGCCACACUGGGACUGAGAGACGGCCCAGACUCCUACGGGAGGCAGCAGUGGGGAAUAUUGCACAAUGGGCGCAAGCCUGAUGCAGCGACGCCGCGUGAGGGAUGACGGCCUUCGGGUUGUAAACCUCUUUCAAUAGGGACGAAGCGCAAGUGACGGUACCUAUAGAAGAAGCACCGGCCAACUACGUG